GCCGGGGUGGCGAAAUAAGGCAGACGCGCAGGAUUUAGGAUCCUGUGUCCCUAAAGGACGUGGAGGUUCAACUCCUCUCUCCGGCA
rnacentral:tRNA from 6 species